GAUGAACGCUGGCGGCGUGCCUAAUACAUGCAAGUCGAGCGAACAGACGAGGAGCUUGCUCCUCUGACGUUAGCGGCGGACGGGUGAGUAACACGUGGAUAACCUACCUAUAAGACUGGGAUAACUUCGGGAAACCGGAGCUAAUACCGGAUAAUAUAUUGAACCGCAUGGUUCAAUAGUGAAAGACGGUUUUGCUGUCACUUAUAGAUGGAUCCGCGCCGCAUUAGCUAGUUGGUAAGGUAACGGCUUACCAAGGCAACGAUGCGUAGCCGACCUGAGAGGGUGAUCGGCCACACUGUAACUGAGACACGGUCCAGACUCCUACGGGAGGCAGCAGUAGAGAAUCUUCCGCAAUGGGCGAAAGCCUGACGGAGCAACGCCGCGUGAGUGAUGAAGGUCUUCGGAUCGUAAAACUCUGUUAUUAGGGAAGAACAAAUGUGUAAGUAACUAUGCACGUCUUGACGGUACCUAAUCAGAAAGCCACGGCUAACUACGUG
rnacentral:rRNA from 1 species